AAUACGAAGGGACCUAGCGUAGUUCGGAAUUACUGGGCUUAAAGAGUUCGUAGGUGGUUAAAAUAGUUGGUGGUGAAAUCCCAGAGCUUAACUCUGGAACUGCCAUCAAAACUUUUUAGCUAGAGUAUGAUAGAGGAAAGCAGAAUUUCUAGUGUAGAGGUGAAAUUCGUAGAUAUUAGAAAGAAUACCAAUUGCGAAGGCAGCUUUCUGGAUCAUUACUGACACUGAGGAACGAAAGCAUGGGUAGCGAAGAGGAUUAGAUACCCUCGUAGUCCAUGCCGUAAACGAUGUGUGUUAGAUGUUGGAAAUUUAUUUUCAGUAUCGCAGCGAAAGCGUUAAACACACCGCCUGGGGAGUACGACCGCAAGGUUAAAACUCAAAUGAAUUGACGGGGACCCGCACAAGUAGUGGAGCAUGUGGUUUAAUUCGAAGAUACGCGCAGAACCUUACCAACACUUGACAUGUUUGUCGCGACUUUAAGAGAUUAAAGUCUUCGGUUCGGCCGGACAAAACACAGGUGCUGCAUGGCUGUCGUCAGCUCGUGUCGUGAGAUGUUGGGUUAAGUCCCGCAACGAGCACAACCCUCACUUUUAGUUGCCAUCAUUUAGUUGGGCACUCUGAAAGAACUGCCAGUGAUAAGCUGGAGGAAGGUGGGGAUGACGUCAAGUCCUCAUGGCCCUUACGUGUUGGGCUACACACGUGCUACAAUGGCAUUUACAAUAGGAAGCAAGAUGGCGACAUCAAGCAAAUCCUAAAAAAAUGCCUCAGUUCGGAUUGUACUCUGCAACUCGAGUACAUGAAGCUGGAAUUACUAGUAAUCGCGGAUCAGUGCGCCGCGGUGAAUACGUUCCCGGGUCUUGUACACACCGCCCGUCACACCAUGGGAGUUGGUUCUACCUUAAGGCAAAGUAUAAAACCUUUGACCACGGUAUAGUCAGCGACUGG
rnacentral:rRNA from 1 species